UACUGUCUUAUUUCAGAUCUUAUGGUAACA
rnacentral:piRNA from 1 species